rnacentral:snRNA from 1 species
AUCACCAUUCAAGAAGUGUCAGUCAUGUAUGUUCUUAUCACUUUAACAUCUGACGUGUCCUCUAACCCAGGUCAACAUAAAUGAUCUUUUGGCACAGGGAGUAGGAAUAAGAGCUUGCUCCAUCCACUCUAUGCAUCAACCUGGUAUUGCAGCACCUCCAGGAACUGGUGCAUCUCCU